AUUGAACGCUGGCGGCAGGCCUAACACAUGCAAGUCGAGCGAGCGGCGGACGGGUGAGUAAUGUCUGGGAAACUGCCUGAUGGAGGGGGAUAACUACUGGAAACGGUAGCUAAUACCGCAUACCAUCAGAUGUGCCCAGAUGGGAUUAGCUGGUAGGUGGGGUAAUGGCUCACCAAGGCGACGAUCCCUAGCUGGUCUGAGAGGAUGACCAGCCACACUGGAACUGAGACACGGUCCAGAGUCCUACGGGAGACAGCAGUGGGGAAGAGUGCACAAUGGGCGCAAGCCUGAUGCAGACAUGCCGCGGGUAUGAAGAAGGCCUUCGGGUUGUAAAGUACUUUCAGAGAGGAGGCGUUACUCGCAGAAGAAGCACCGGCUAACGACGUGCCAGCAGCGGCGGUAAUUC
rnacentral:rRNA from 1 species